rnacentral:rRNA from 1 species
UACAUGUGGGGCAAGCGUUGUUCGGAAUUACUGGGCCUAAAGGGUGCGUAGGCGGCUUGCUAAGUCAGUGGUGAAAUCGUCCGGCCCAACCGGACACGUGCCAAUGAUACUGGUGAGCUAGAGUGCGUGAGGGGUAGGGGGAACGAGCAGUGUAGCGGUGAAAUGCGUAGAUAUUGCUCGGAAGGCCAAAGCCGAAGGGACCCUACUGGUGCGCAACUGACGCUGAGGCACGAAAGCGUGGGGAGCAAACAGG